UACGUAGGGGGCGAGCGUUGUCCGGAUUUAUUGGGCGUAAAGGGCUCGUAGGUGGUUUGUCAAGUCGGAUGUGAAAUCUCCAGGCUCAACCUGGAGCGGCCAUUCGAGACUGGCAUGACUUGAGUCCGGUAGGGGAUCACGGAAUACCUGGUGUAGCGGUGAAAUGCGCAGAUAUCAGGAGGAACACCGGUGGCGAAGGCGGAUCUCUGGGCCGAUACUGACGCUGAGGAGCGAAAGCGUGGGGAGCGAACAGG
rnacentral:rRNA from 1 species